rnacentral:rRNA from 1 species
GAGUUUGAUCCUGGCUCAGAUUGAACGCUGGCGGCAGGCCUAACACAUGCAAGUCGAGCGGAUGACGGGAGCUUGCUCCUUGAUUCAGCGGCGGACGGGUGAGUAAUGCCUAGGAAUCUGCCUGGUAGUGGGGGACAACGUUUCGAAAGGAACGCUAAUACCGCAUACGUCCUACGGGAGAAAGCAGGGGACCUUCGGGCCUUGCGCUAUCAGAUGAGCCUAGGUCGGAUUAGCUAGUUGGUGGGGUAAUGGCUCACCAAGGCGACGAUCCGUAACUGGUCUGAGAGGAUGAUCAGUCACACUGGAACUGAGACACGGUCCAGACUCCUACGGGAGGCAGCAGUGGGGAAUAUUGGACAAUGGGCGAAAGCCUGAUCCAGCCAUGCCGCGUGUGUGAAGAAGGUCUUCGGAUUGUAAAGCACUUUAAGUUGGGAGGAAGGGCGAGUAAGUUAAAUACCUUGCUGUUUUGACGUUACCGACAGAAUAAGCACCGGCUAACUCUGUGCCAGCAGCCG